GUCAGGCUCAAGCCUUUUCUGCUGUGCUGGAAGGUCAGGAGGUGUCCUUAACAGAAAGAAGAGACUAAACUCCUCUCUGCCCUGCACUCUUUCAGGGAGAGCUCUUCCCUAAAGCCCCGAGUGUGACCUGAAUACAAGAGAAACACGGACUUCAGGAUUUGGUGCUUGCAGGGCUGCUCCCAAGCUCUUGUCUGACCUGAGUGUGUUUGCCUCUGCACGCUGCUUGUAGGACCAAGCCCUGCUGUGCUGCAGAGUCACCUCUGCUCCUCCUGGAGCCAGAGGCAGCUCAGGGUAAUCAGCACAUGCAGAAAUACGCUCUGACUGUGGAAGCCUGGUAAGAGCGCAGUUUAAUUUCACUGUGGUAUGCAGCACUCCAAGAAAACUCCCAGACUCAGUUCUUUUCCUUCAAGCACAAUCCCUUAUCAAGGUCCUUGGCAGCAAUUCACAUACAGAAAGGAGCAGCUGUCAUGGUAUUCCCACAUACAAACACAAAAAAACAACCCCUCCCUGCUUUCAGUGCAGCAAUGUUACGUAGUAUGAAUAAUUACAAUAUUUAACACUUGUAUCUGUGCUUUUAAUCUUCAAAGCACUUAACGAGCACUAGGUACAGGUAAUUGUAGCUGCAGAGUGAUGUGACUGUCUGCAAGAAGAGAAGAAUUGGGUGCAUGAGUGCUCCAGUGGUCCUGUGCAGGGUGGGCACAGAGCAAAUGGGGCAGUAAAGGCCCAAUGACAUGAAAUCCCUUGGCUGUCAGGGUUGAUUUUUUCCUUUGAAUGGUGGCUAUCCCUCUGCCACAGGUCAGUGACUUCUCAGGUCUGUUGGUGGAAUCACUCACCUUCUGGUUUCCCAACCCACCUUAGUCCCAAUGAACUUGGUUAGGAAAGACCUAUAUAGCAAACCAUGUUUGCUGACCUGGCGUGUUCUCACGUCAGGAUGAGAGAGUGCUUGGAUGAGCAGCUCAGCCAUCAAACCUGGGAAAAUGGAACUCCUGGCAGAAAAGAAGAUGACUGUGGAGGGAAGGUGACUGGGACUUGCAGGAGGCCUAUAGGAGGCUGGCAAUGGUGGCAGCUGGCACAGGAGGAUUACCCUGCUCUGCCUUUGGCCUCUGAGGGACAUAUGAAGUUGGUGGUCCCAGGAUUUCAGAGUGAGCAGAAUGAAAUUGCUGAGCAGAGCUCACACUCUCUGGACUUCGCUGCAGCUGGGAUCCUCCUCUGGACAAAGGUGAUGUGUCUUUGGCUUGGCAGGAAGGUUUAUUAAAAUACCACAGGUUCAGACAAUGCCGGUUACGAGGAGUGCACACUGCGCUGGAUGUGGGAGGACUGGCGCAGAGUUUCCAAUAAAAAUGAAGUGACUUAGAAAUCUCUUCUUCA
rnacentral:lncRNA from 1 species